AUGGCGGAGCACGCCGCCCCGGAGCUACCCAAGAGGUGCCACCACUGCGCAGGGCCCCUCUCCAAGGACAUGGAAACUAGCAGCUGGACCGUCACUCCAUUGGUUCGAGAUAGCUUCUCAAUGGUUUGUUCCGUCGCCUUUCACUGCUCACCAGUGCAAAUUGGUUCCGCUGUUGGGGGCACUGCAGGCGCAUUUUAUGCAUUUAAUCAUGCUAUGCCUGUUGUUCGGCGUUACAUAAAAGGGCCAAUGUGGAUGCAUUUUCUUGUUGGUGCCCCUCCAGUUGUUGUAUUCUCUUCUGCAUGUGCUGGAUUAGCAGCUGGUACAAUACCAGCCCUUGCACAACUGGUUUCGUCGUCCUGUCAUGCCGCCAUGUCAUCGCCCUCGUUCGCCCGCCCUGCUUCUCGCGAUGACAUGCACAAGAGCAGAGGCUCCUCGCCAUUGUAA
rnacentral:rRNA from 1 species